rnacentral:snRNA from 1 species
AGCUUUGUGCAGUGGCAAUAUCGUAGCCAAUGAGGUUUAUCCAAGGCACGAUUAUUGCUAAUAGAG